rnacentral:tRNA from 1 species
GCCUCGGUUGCGUAGUGGUCAAGACGCUCGCCUGGUAAACAGGAGGGCGUGGGUUCGAUCCCAGCCGAGGCA